rnacentral:misc_RNA from 1 species
GAAGUUCAGGAACUGAGAGCACUGAAACUUUCCCCACAGUUCUACAUGCAAAUGAACCCACCCACCACGCUCACCAUGUGCCCCUCAUGUGAGCGUGUUGCUGUCCCACCAGCCGCAUCAUCAACCGUUGGUCCCUCGCAUCCUCGCAUGGGUCCCACUCACCACCACAGGCCCAUCCCCAUUAACCCGUGGCCCCCAACAGCGCCAGCAGCCCUGUUUUAUGGCCUGCGUCCUCGGUCGUGAUUAAGAAUCAUAAACGAGGACAUUUUGGUCAUUAUAAGAAAUUAUUAAUGAUCCUAUAUUUAUGUUAGAAAAGAGGAGGUUGGAAAGUGUAAAAUAUG